rnacentral:rRNA from 1 species
UACGGAGGGUGCAAGCGUUAAUCGGAAUUACUGGGCGUAAAGCGUGCGCAGGCGGUUUGUUAAGUCUGCUGUGAAAUCCCCGAGCUCAACUUGGGAAUUGCAGUGGAUACUGGCAGGCUGGAGUAUGGUAGAGGAAGGUGGAAUUCCCGGUGUAGCAGUGAAAUGCGUAGAGAUCGGGAGGAACACCAGUGGCAAAGGCGGCCUUCUGGACCAAUACUGACGCUCAUGCACGAAAGCGUGGGGAGCAAACAGG